ensembl:lncRNA
UGCUAACAAAAUCCCCCAUGUUCAGAGUUGAGGAAACUGUAUCUGUAUUUAGCGGCUCUAUGGAGCUCUCAUGUUAGACCAGGGGUCUCAAACUCCGGUGCUGAUACUGUUCUGGUUUUUAGGCCAUGAAGGUCUCAGUGGAGAGGAUGUUCUCACAUGGACUCUUCUCACUUCUCUCCAACAAUUUAAGAAACUCCAUGGCAUGAAUCUCCUUACAGCCCAGAAGUAAUGACGGAGACAAAGAGAGCGAGGCCGCCAUCGGAGGGUCGGCAGUCCAGGGACCAGUCGCUCGUGUUUUCGGUUGUGAUGUUGUUAAACCUCAGAGGGCCUCACAGUGAGUUCCUUUUACUGGCCAAACAAAGAGAGACAACAGCCUUUAGACCUCAGACCAGCCGGCAGUAAAAGGAGCUCCAGGGGUCAAAGGUCAUUGCAAAAGGGAGGGCGGGGUCUCAGGUUGGAGAGAUUAUAGACCGAGAAAGGGGAACAUUAGUGGUUUCUUCUGUCAUUUGGACAAACGUAACAACGCUGCUUUGAGAAGAAACAGAAGGCCCGUUACAGAGAGAAGACGGUAAAGACACGCUGAGGACCUUCAAGGCUUCACAUUCAAGAGGAGCUUUGAGGGACAGACAGUGGAGAUACAUCAUACUUAGCAAAACACUGAGAGAAAAGACGGCACUAUAAAUUUUACUUUAAAGCUACUUUGUGGAACUUUCGUUAGUGUUGAUUGUGUCGCCCCCUGUGGACUGAAGUGGUAGUGCCUCCUCCCAUCGGCCUCCCUUUAGAAAACCCCUCAUUCCACUGACCGUCUGACCCUCUCAGUUCUGCCCCCCCGCCCCCCUCCGACAUUGUGGUUUUGGUGAAGGACGCAGCGCACCGACCUGCAGCGGAUACCAAACGAAGCCUUUUCUGAAAGGCACCGAAAAGAAGCGGCCGCGCCCGCCCUCCUUGAAUAAAUAAAGCUUUUUGUUCGGAAACCUCAACGGCCCUCGAGAGUCGGGGUGGGAAACGCAAACAUGCCGCCCGCCCCGCUGAACCAGAUACUGCCGAUCGGCGAGGUGCGGCGGCGGCGGGAGGGAAUCCACGGCACCGUGGGGGGGGGUCCGAGCGCGUAUGUGUGCGUUUCUGCAGGUAAAAGGAGGGGACAUUAAGUCUUUCAGUGAGUAUUUAAUACACUUCACUGAGUAGUUUCCUGUGAAGAUGGAAGUUUAUUUUGAAACUGUAUUCAUGUAAAGAGAUACAUUUUUGUUAAAUAUCAUAUAAUCAUUAUUAUUAUAUACUAAUUAUUAGGUUACUGAUUGUGAUGCUUCCAUGGCCUCCUGCAGGAGGAGGAACAUGAAGAAGUCACAACUUUCCCUUUGAGACUUCCUGUAGAGGAUUAAUAGAAUAACAGAAAACGUAAAUAUAAAUAAUAAUAUAAAUAAAUCAUA